AAAGGUGAAAUGAGUUCUGAUAUUUUUCCGGCGUCGCGUGACUUAUUGCUUUUGAUUAUAAAUAACCGAUUUUCAGACCAAAACGCAAUAGGCAGGUUUUUGUUUAACAAACAGAACUAGAAAUUCAUCGAACUGUUCAACACGUUGACGAUGGAAUAUUAAACUUUUCUAUUACACGCAUAGUGUUGGCGUCAUUAAAGCUUUCCACAGUUUUAUAUCGAAAAAUCACACGUCGUAUUUUUCAUCUUUCUAAUUAGUUGUUUGCAGUAAAAUGUUAUUUUUUUUUAAUUCAGCGCCUCGCGUAGUAUGGACCUAUUUCAGGAUAGCUCUUUUGAGACGAGUGUGUACAGUAGUUUAGUUUAUUUAAAAGAAACAGGGCCGACGCUAGGAUUACCAACGUCUCGAUGCAACUUCCAAUUUAGACGCUCCGUCUAACUCGUCCUAAAAAUCAAAAAGCCCCUACCAAGAUACGUCCCGGUGCAUCGUUUACUUUCGCGUAAAGCCGGUCCUGGAAACAAAAAAUCAUCACUUAUUCGUUCGAAGUAUAAUGCUCGAGCAGCGAGAUUUUUCAACGCUGAACGCGAGAAGCCCUGAAUCGAUCAAUAGAAAAGUAGUGCCGUCUACCAUCCUCGGCGAAAAUGUGGACCCCAUCGUUUCUUGGUAUGUCACUAGCACAAAUUCGACAGUGGAGCUUGUCGUCCCGAUCGCGCUCAAAAUCGCGACCCGCCGUACCCAUUUCAAAAAAG